ACUCCAAAAGACGUGCCGAUUGCUUAUGGUUUCAAUAAAAUUCCAAAGCGGAUGCCUGCAUCUUUGAAGCCCUUGCCGCUGAAUCAGUUCAGUGACCUUAUUAGAAGAGAGAUCGCAGUGUGUGGUUACAUGGAAGUGUUAACAUGGAUCUUAUGUUCUUACAAAGAGAAUUUCGCCAUGCUGAAGCGUAAAGAUGACAAAUCUACUGCAGUUGUCAUUGGAAACCCCGCUCCGCAGAUUUUGAGGUUGUAAGAAGCAGUCUCAUGGCUGGAAUACUGAAAACAGCCGCCCACAAUAAAGAUCAUCCGAAACCUAUCAAGAUAUUUGAAGUAGGCGAUGUAACUGUAUUUGA